AUGGACUGCGCUAUACGUCUUUACUUGCGCAUUCAAUUAUAUUAAUUAAACCGCGACGCAUAAUCAUGGUAUUAUGUGAAGCCAAUAUGUUGUAUCAGAUGUUAGAGCGGUGGGUGUGUACAUAUUUUUAAGAGACGCCUUCUAUUUAAAGACACGAAAAAGCUGAGGAGAAUGAAAACAAGAAUGUGUUGCUGCUGUGGCGCUGCCUGUUUUAAACCACACAGAACAAUUAUAACUUCGCAGUGAACAGAAAACAGCUAAGCCAUCAACAAGUUGUUGCCCUUCAAACAUGGGGAGUGUGAAGGGCAACAACUUGUUGAUGGCUUAGUUAUUUUCUGUUUACUGCGAAGUUAUAAUCGUUCUGUGUGGUUUAAAACAGGCAGCGCCACAGCAGCAACACAUUGUUUUUAUUCUCCUCAGCUUUUUCGUGUCUUUAAAUAGAAGGCGUCUCUUAAAAAUAUGUACACACCCACCGCUCUAACAUCCGAUACAACACAUUGACUUCACAUAAUACCAUGAUUAUGCGUCGCGGUUUAUUUAAUAUAAUUUGAAUGCGCAAGUAAAGACGUAGAGCGCAGUCCAUCUGCGACUACAGCCGCUUAUUUAGGUUUUAAACUUCCACAACUUGUUAAUGAAUGUUUUCCAAUAGUCGUAGAUUUUACGUAAAUAACCGUAAUAAUCAUAGGAAUUUGUUUUACAGCAGUUGUCGGUCGUAAUUUUGACAGGACGCCAGAAAGCAGCAGAUCUACAGCGACGCAUCACAGCAACAUGUUUGUUCCUACGCGUUUACUCUGUGUCUGCAGAACUGCAGUUUGACUUGUUUUGACUGUGCGUGUCAUUGUAACUGAGGCUGAGAGACGUAUUCGACCAGUGUACGUUUCAACAUUUUAAUUUCCCAUCCGUCCAUCCAGCCACUUUCACCGGCGUUUUCGUUUCUCUUUCGUUGAGCUGCAAACGGAUUUUAAUCAAAGCACCGCCUUACAAACCAAUAAAACAGGCAAAAAUAUUUGUUUUUUACA
rnacentral:lncRNA from 1 species